CAGUUGGGAAGCUGUUCCAAAGAGGGUGACAGGCCCGUAUGCGAAAUCUUGUACUCUCUAAUCAGGAUCCUGAGUACGGCCCAGCACGUGAAAUUGGGUCGGAAUCUGGGAGGACCAUCUCCCAAGGCUAAAUACUAACUAGUGACCGAUAGCGAACAAGUACCGUGAGGGAAAGGUGAAAAGAACCCCGGAAGGGGAGUGAAAUAGUUCUUGAAACCGUGUGCUUACAAGAAGUUCGAGGCCGUUAAUGGCUGAGAGCGUGCUUUUUGUAGAAUGAACCGGAGAGUUACGAUUGCGUGCAAGGUUAAGGUGCAAAGACUGGAGCCGUAGCGAAAGCGAGUCUUAAUAGGGCGAAUCAGUACGUAGUUGUAGACCCGAAACCGAGUGACCUAUCCAUGGUCAGGUUGAAGGUGGGGUAAUACCUACUGGAGGACCGAACAAGUGGGUGUUAAAAAACCCUUUGAUGAACUGUGGAUAGCGGUGAAAUUCCAAUCGAACUCGGAGAUAGCUGGUUCUAUCCGAAAUACAUUUAGGUGUAGCCUUGCAAUUAGCUUACUGGAGGUAGAGCACUAUUUGGUCUAGGGGCCCUUCAAGGGUUACCAAAAUCAGAUAAACUCCGAAUGCCAGCUAAGUAUGUGCAGGAGUCAGACGGUGAGUGAUAAGAUCCAUCGUCAAAAGGGGAACAGCCCAGAUCACCAGUUAAGGUCCCUAAAUAUAUGCUAAGUGGAAAACGUUGUGAAGGUGCAUAGACAACUAGGAGGUUGGCUCAGAAGCAGCCACCCUUUAAAGAGUGCGUAAUAGCUCACUAGUCGAGUGCUCUUGCGCGGAUAAUGUACCGGGGCUAAGCAUAUUACCGAAACUGUGGAUGCGUAAGCAUGGUAGGAUAGCGUAAUUAACGCGAUGAAGGAUGACCGUAAGGACAUGUUGGAGCGUUAACUAGUGAGAAUUCCGGUAUGAGUAGCGAAAGAUAGGUGAGAAUCCUAUCCACCGAAUGAGUAAGGUUUCCCCCGGAAGGCUCGUCCGCGGGGGGUUAGUCGGGACCUAAGGCGAGGCUGAAAAGCGUAGUCGAUGGACAACAGGUUGAUAUUCCUGUACCGAUAUUUAAUUGCCGAAGGAAGGACGCAGAAGGAUAACACAGGCCACUAUUGGAUG
rnacentral:rRNA from 1 species